CCUCCCUGCUCGGGAUGCAAACCCGACGGCUCAGCUCGCUCGGGCAGUGCCCGUGGGCUGGAAUUAUUUGCUGCAGAGCCCCGUGCCUAAACUGUCCCCGCGGUGAGAGCUUUCCUCCUGAGCCAGGCUGGGCACACCUCGUGGCUCCUCCGGCCGAGCUCCUUCCCCCCUCCGUGGAAGUGUAUCACGCAGAGAUCAGAAAGCCAGGGAGUGACGCCCUCUCGGUCCGCCCCAGCUGCCGGGUCCAGCGCGGGGGUGCAGCAUUUCAGAGGUGCCAAGUUGGGGAGUGGAAUCGGAAAGGCACGAAUCAGUCCAGUCAGUCCCCACGUCCUGGUCCUUCUCCCCAUCUGCACUCUCCAGCAUCCCACUCCUGCACCACCUGCAGCCGGCGCUGCUCUGUCCCCCUUUCCCGGGCAGCGCGGGGCUGGGAUUCGGAGCAGGGCGUGCGCCCCGACCCCGCGGGGCUGCCUGAGGAUGCCGCGGCUUCAACCUGCCCUCAGGCCACGGGGACGCGGUGAUGCCACAAAGUGCUGCUGCUGCUGCACGGCUGUGACAGCACUGUCACCAAAGCACUGUCAAAAUGCUGGCUGUUUCGUCUCGUGGGAGGGUCUAUUUCGUGCGAGUGUUGUUUUGCUUUUUUACGUCUUUUAGGGCCAGCUGAAACUGCUGCCUUUCCCAGAACUGUUGUGUGUUCGUCCUGUAAAUCAUUGCUGGGCAAGAGGUACCAGGAAGUGCUUCCCUGCAGUAGCCAGGGCUCCGGGUUGGGGAGUGAGGGCCCGCGGCCGAAAGAGGGGGAGGGGGGAAGGUUUGCACAGCCGCGACAGGGGCGUCCCCCCGUGCUGAGCCCGCUGGGGGCCACGGCCCGCACGCACCAGGCAGCGCCCGAGGCUGUCCCCAACAGAGGCAGGCAGCGAUGUGGCGAGGGGGGGCGGCCCCGGGCCAGCCGCGCUCCCCGAGGGGGGCAGACACAGCCUCGGGAAGAAAGGGUGAGCUGUUAGAAGUAACCAUUACAACGUGCCGAAAGGCGAGCGAAGGCAGGGUGUGAUGAAGGGCGUGUGCUCGCUCCCCUCAUGCUUGGUUAACUCCGGCAGUACUCAGGAGUUUUAAAGUUGUUUUUUUUCCCCUCCGAAGCGCACGCCCGCUCUUCGCGGCGGGGCGCUGUGGGGGGAGCGCUCUCCCCGUGUCGGGGUCGCGCUCCGGGGGUAGCCGGGGCCCCGCGGCGAGGGAGGAGCCCCUCCACGAGAGACUCAGACUGGGCUGGGCUCCCCCGCCCAAGCCGCCGGGGCUGUCUCUGCCGCCCCCCCUCCCCCCGGACUUCCCCUCCAGCACACAGCAAGCAGGCUUGCGGCCGUUUCCUUUUAUUUAAUUUUAUUAUUGAAGUUGUGGCAUUAUUUGCAAUUGGCAGUGGUACAGACCGGCUCAGGAUCCAUUGAAACAGAUUUGUCUUCAAGUAAAGUCUAAAAAAUAUUUUGAUUCAUAGCUACAUCUUGUGAACGCAAAAAAAAAAAAA